rnacentral:pre_miRNA from 1 species
GUUUGAAUUACUGCAGGUCUUGUCAAAAUGCAGAUUCUGAUUCUUCGAAUCUCAGAGAGGGGCCUGAGAGUCUGCAUUUCUGACAAGCUCUCAGGUGAUGCUUAU